rnacentral:rRNA from 1 species
GACGAACGCUGGCGGCGUGCUUAACACAUGCAAGUCGAACGAGUGGCGAACGGGUGAGUAACACGUGGGUGACCUGCCCUGCACUUCGGGAUAAGCCUGGGAAACUGGGUCUAAUACCGGCUCGUGUGGGGUGGGCUCUCGGCCUAUCCGCUUGUUGGUGGGGUAAUGGCUACCAAGGCGCGACGGGUAGCCGGCCUGAGAGGGUGGACGGCCACACUGGGACUGAGACACGGCCCAGACGCCUACGGUAGGCAGCAGUGGGGAAUAUUGCACAAUGGGCGCAAGCCUGAUGCAGCCAGGCCGCGUGUAUGAAGAAGGCCUUAGGGUUGUAAAGUACUUUCAGCGGGGAGGCGUUACCCGCAGAAGAAGCACCGGCUAACUCCGUGCCAGCCGCCGCGGUAAUAC